rnacentral:rRNA from 1 species
UGAGGAAUAUUGGUCAAUGGGCGAGAGCCUGAACCAGCCAAGUAGCGUGCAGGAUGACGGCCCUAUGGGUUGUAAACUGCUUUUAUAAGGGAAUAAAGUGAGUCUCGUGAGACUUUUUGCAUGUACCUUAUGAAUAAGGACCGGCUAAUUCCGUGCCAGCAGCCGCGGUAAUACGGAAGGUCCGGGCGUUAUCCGGAUUUAUUGGGUUUAAAGGGAGCGUAGGCCGGAGAUUAAGCGUGUUGUGAAAUGUAGACGCUCAACGUCUGCACUGCAGCGCGAACUGGGGUCUUGAGU